AUACUUACCUGGGCGGGGUCUAUGAGUGCUCAUGUAGACUCAUGGCCUAGGUGUGCAGCUUCCAUUGCACUUAGGAGGGGCGCCUGCCUAACAUCUCCCCAAGUGGGAGAGUGUACGUCAUAAUUUGUGGUAGUGGGGGCUUGUGUUCGCGCGGUCCCUUC